GACCAGCCUAGCCCGACGGGGCGAAAAGCGGGCUUCCCACCCGCCAGGCUAGUUGAUUUAUGGGA
rnacentral:sRNA from 12 species